ACGAAAAACUGCACAGAGAGAAAUGAAUGGUGGAGAUUUUAGAUUGCAAAAAAAAAACAAAAAACAAAAAAAAACUUGAAAGUUAGUUUGGAGCUUAAAAAAAAAAAGAAAAACAUAUUUUAUUGAGGUCCGCAUGGAGCUGGAGGGAGCGUGGCCUCCAGCUCCGCCGGAAUUUCGGGAGAUUUUGGGAGAAAAUUUGUCCCGGGAGGUUUUCGGGAGAGGCGCUGAAUUUCAGGAGUCUCCCGGAAAAUCCGGGAGGGUUGGCAAGGAUGGAGAUGAAACAAAAUUUGAGCUGUUUGGCCACAAUACCCAGCAAAAUGUUUGGAGGAGAAAAGCUCCUUCAAGCAGUCGUCACGCCGGUGCGGAGAGUUUCCUGCAGGAAGGAGAGGUCAACGUUGGGAGCGGAGGGAGGCUGAUAGGAGAGCGCUACACUGUCAAAUGACAUGAGGCAGGGCCCCCUGACCUCUGUCUCUUUGGGAACAGGACACCCAGGUGCAAAUACCGAGAGAAGGGCAUGUCAAGAGAAGCACCUCUGUCAUGACCUCAGUCUUCAAACAUCAUCGGCUUUACAGACGUGCUUAUUGAACUUUUGGACUUUCAUCUAGCGUCCCCAAAAUGCCAAGAAGGCAAACUGUUUUCCCAUACGAAAUAUUGAAAAGAUAAAUAAUUUGUUUCAGGGUAAAACUAUCACCAUUAUUAGCAGUUAUACUGUAACAUAAUAUACCGUAUUUACCUGACACCUUCUAUGUUAGCUACUUCUCUUUGUUUUUAAUGUCUAUUUUCUAUUUUCUGCUGGAUUUACUCUCUAUUUUAUGCUGCAGCUGUCACAUAUACUGUAUUUUUCGGACUAUAAGUCUCAGUUUUUU